CCAUGGAACGGAGAUCAACACGCGAUGUGGAGCGUAGUGGAGUCCGAGGACGGUUUUCACCACCGUGGUCAAAAACAACACCGUUUUGAUCCGAGGUAUGUAUACUUUAUUUCAUCCUGGAGCACCAAAGUCACAUUCCGAACAAAAGAUAACAACAA